ensembl:lncRNA GMDS-DT GMDS divergent transcript
GGCCACCGCGCGGGAGGGGCGGGGCCUGCCGCCGCCACCGCCUCAGGGAAGAGGAAGGAGGCCGCGGCUUCGCGUCCCGCCUCUCGCCUGGCUGGCCGUGGGGGGCCUGGACGCAGUGGCCUCCCGAAUCUCCCAGGACCCUAAUAUCGCCCGAGGAUGCUGGGAGGAACGCUGAGCCGACCUCUCCGUUAGGCUGAAGAUUGCACAAACCAUGCUAAUGGCCAGCAUGGAUGGAGGGAGCGUGUGAGAUGUGUGGGGCAGCGUGCUGCAUCUCAGCCAACUCCAGGAGCCAGUUGAUGUGAUGGACUACCUUAAUUGAUUUUUGAAUGUUGAGCCAGCCUUAUGCAUGUGGGAUAAACCCCUGUUGAUCAUGAUGGAACGAAGUCUGUUUGUGGAAACACCCUUCCCCUCUGUUUACUUGGACCUGAUUUUGAAAGUAACAAGUCACUUUAUUUGGGCUGGAGGAAAAAGCACUAAACCAGAUGUUGAGGUGACCGGGAUUCCUGGAAGACAUUCUUCUCUCCAACGAGACACAUGAUGCAUGAAGUAGGAGCCCCUGGCAAGGAGCCCAGGCUGCCAUGGCCUCGCUCGCUCCUGCUUCCCGGCAUGGCCCCGAGGCUAGCUGCCUCUGUACUGCCUGAGCAUCGUCCCCUGGCGUGUCACCAGACUACCCACUACCUGUGCUUGCACCUGCAGGUGGGCAGUUCAGUCGUUGCAGGCUGAAGCUCCCUGUCACAGGAGUCCAUCAGCACUGGAGUUUACCAAAUGGCCCAGUCCAGGAAGCAUGCUCAUGGCAAUACCCGGAGUCUCCACUGCAAGACCAGAGUGACGGAGGCAGCAGAGCUCCUCAGCAGGCCAGGAGUCUCCAGAGGCACUGCCGAAUGUCUAAGAAGCAACCUCAUUGUAUUCCCAAGACCUGGGAAUCCAGGUCUCGCAGAUACGAUGAUACAAUCUAUAGCCAGGACAUCUCUUCAUGUGUAGUUUUCAAUGAAUACUAGGAUAAGCAACUAUCCCAGUCUUCCCAGGAUUGAGGGGCUUCUCCAGAUGCUGCACUUCUGGUGCUAAAAAUGAGAAACUGAAAUGAAUUAGUCACCCAAGGAAUGCUGACCCUGUGCUAUAUGAUCACAUUUACUCUUUAAAGCAAUGCUUUGAGAACAAUUGAGCUGCAUAGUCCCUGCAAUCUUAUAAAGGCAUUUGGCCUGGAAGAUGCUCUGCAGCCAUGUGCCAAGAAUAACGGCUAUAGGGACAAUGUUUCAUUAACCCCAAAGCAGCAACCUGAACCUCUUACUGUACAAUAUCUGCUCCGUUCAGAAUUAGCUCGACUUGAGUCACAGGAUGAAGCUUACCAAAAGGAAUUUCCACGUCCAAGGAAGGAACCAAGAUCACUGAGAGGUUAUAGUAUGAAAAGUGAAGAGAAAAAACCUAUUCUAAACAUUUUAUUAAUUGUCAAUAAUUAUUUUAAAAUAUUUAAUAUAGUCUCCUACCUGGUCCACUGGCAUCAAGCUGCCAAAUUUACACGGUCACUUUGGGAAGCCAGCUGGCAGGCAAACAUGGAAAGUGCUGGCUCCUAGCGUAGUGAGAAGACCACAGAUAGAUGGUAAUUUUCUUCUUUGUUUUAUUUUUCUUUUUCUUCUCUCCCUCUUUUUCUUCCCUCUUGCCUUUCCCUCCCAUUGCCCACUUUCUUUUUUUGGCUGCCGAAGAUUUAUUGCCUUUCAGUACUUAUAGAUGAUGUUUUCAUAAGUUCUAAUGAGGUCCCAGCAGUUUUUAACAAUAACAGGACAUUACUGUUCCUAAGAUAUAUUAUGUGUUUUCCCUCAUCUUUCUCCCUUGAAUGAAAUGCUUAGAAGUAGGCUAACCCCCAAUUCCCUUCCCUUUACUAUGAUAAAUGGCUCCAUUACUUAAUAGGGCUAAAUACUCUGCUGUGACU